rnacentral:rRNA from 1 species
AUACGGGAGGCAGCAGUGGGGAAUAUUGCACAAUGGGCGAAAGCCUGAUGCAGCAACGCCGCGUGAGUGAAGAAGGUUUUCGGAUUGUAAAGCUCUGUCUUUGGGGACGAUAAUGACGGUACCCAAGGAGGAAGCCACGGCUAACUACGUGCCAGCAGCCGCGGUAAUACGUAGGUGGCGAGCGUUGUCCGGAAUUACUGGGCGUAAAGAGUGCGUAGGCGGAUAUUUAAGUGAGAUGUGAAAUACCCGGGCUUAACCCGGGCACUGCAUUUCAAACUGGAUAUCUAGAGUGCGGGAGAGGAGAAUGGAAUUCCUAGUGUAGCGGUGAAAUGCGUAGAGAUUAGGAAGAACACCAGUGGCGAAGGCGAUUCUCUGGACCGUAACUGACGCUGAGGCACGAAAGCGUGGGUAGCAAACAGGAUUAGAUACCCUGGU